GAUAAACGCUGGCGGCGUGCUUAACACAUGCAAGUCGAACGAAGUUUUUCCUUCGGGAGCACCUUAGUGGCGGACGGGUGAGUAACGCGUGGGUAACCUGCCCUGUACAGGGGGACAACAGCUGGAAACGGCUGCUAAUACCGCAUAAGCACUUAGCACUGCAUGGUGCAUAGGGAAAAGGAGCAAUCCGGUACAGGAUGGACCCGCGUCUGAUUAGCCAGUUGGCAGGGUAACGGCCUACCAAAGCGACGAUCAGUAGCCGAUCUGAGAGGAUGUACGGCCACAUUGGGACUGAGACACGGCCCAGACUCCUACGGGAGGCAGCAGUGGGGAAUAUUGCACAAUGGAGGAAACUCUGAUGCAGCGACGCCGCGUGAGUGAAGAAGUAUUUCGGUAUGUAAAGCUCUAUCAGCAGGGAAGAAAAUGACGGUACCUGACGAAGAAGCACCGGCUAAAUACGUG
rnacentral:rRNA from 1 species